UAACACAUGACGGUCGAACGAGGUCCAUGGAGCUUGCUCCGGAAGAUCUAGUGGCGAACGGGUGCGUAACACGUGAGAAAUCUGCCCCGGACUCUGGGAUAACAGUUGGAAACGACUGCUAAUACCGGAUGCCUUCAUUUGGCCGCAUGGUUGCUUGAAGAAGGAUUUAUCGGUUUGGGAGGAUCUCGCGGCCUAUCAGCUUGUUGGAGAGGUAACGGCUCACCAAGGCAUCGACGGGUAGCUGGUCUGAGAGGAUGAUCAGCCACACUGGAACUGAGACACGGUCCAGACUCCUACGGGAGGCAGCAGUGGGGAAUCUUGCACAAUGGGCGAAAGCCUGAUGCAGCGAUGCCGCGUGCGGGAAGAAGGCCUUAGGGUUGUAAACCGCUUUCAGGAGGGAAGAAAAAUGACGGUACCUCC
rnacentral:rRNA from 1 species